rnacentral:rRNA from 3 species
GACACUGAACAUUGAGCCUUGAUGUGUAGGAUAGGUGGGAGGCUUUGAAGUGUGGACGCCAGUCUGCAUGGAGCCGACCUUGAAAUACCACCCUUUAAUGUUUGAUGUUCUAACGUGGACCCGUAAUCCGGGUUGCGGACAGUGUCUGGUGGGUAGUUUGACUGGGGCGGUCUCCUCCUAAAGAGUAACGGAGGAGCACGAAGGUUGGCUAAUCCUGGUCGGACAUCAGGAGGUUAGUGCAAUGGCAUAAGCCAGCUUGACUGCGAGCGUGACGGCGCGAGCAGGUGCGAAAGCAGGUCAUAGUGAUCCGGUGGUUCUGAAUGGAAGGGCCAUCGCUCAACGGAUAAAAGGUACUCCGGGGAUAACAGGCUGAUACCGCCCAAGAGUUCAUAUCGACGGCGGUGUUUGGCACCUCGAUGUCGGCUCAUCACAUCCUGGGGCUGAAGUAGGUCCCAAGGGUAUGGCUGUUCGCCAUUUAAAGUGGUACGCGAGCUGGGUUUAGAACGUCGUGAGACAGUUCGGUCCCUAUCUGCCGUGGGCGCUGGAGAACUGAGGGGGGCUGCUCCUAGUACGAGAGGACCGGAGUGGACGCAUCACUGGUGUUCGGGUUGUCAUGCCAAUGGCACUGCCCGGUAGCUAAAUGCGGAAGAGAUAAGUGCUGAAAGCAUCUAAGCACGAAACUUGCCCCGA